AUACGUAGAUGGCGAGCGUUAUCCGGAAUGACUGGGCGUAAAGGGUGCGUAGGCGGUUUUAUAAGUCAGAUGUGAAAUCCCGAGCUUAACUUGGGAACUGCAUUUGAAACUAUAGAACUUGAGUGCAGGAGAGGAAAGCGGAAUUCCUAGUGUAGCGGUGAAAUGCGUAGAUAUUAGGAGGAACACCAGUGGCGAAGGCGGCUUUCUGGACUGUAACUGACGCUGAGGCACGAAAGCAUGGGGAGCAAACAGGAUUAGAUACCCUGGUAGUCCAUGCCGUAAACGAUGAAUGCUAGGUGUAGGGCGUCAAAACUCUGUGCCGCAGUUAACACAAUAAGCAUUCCGCCUGGGGAGUACGGCCGCAAGGUUGA
rnacentral:rRNA from 1 species